UACGUAGGCAGCAAGCGUUGUUCGGAGUUACUGGGCGUAAAGGGUGUGUAGGCGGUUGUUUAAGUUUGGUGUGAAAUCUCCCGGCUCAACUGGGAGGGUGCGCCGAAUACUGAAUGACUUGGAGUGCGGGAGAGGAGAGUGGAAUUCCUGGUGUAGCGGUGAAAUGCGUAGAUAUCAGGAGGAACAUCGGUGGUGUAGACGGCUCUCUGGACCGUAACUGACGCUGAGACACGAAAGCGUGGGUAGCAAACAGG
rnacentral:rRNA from 1 species